GUACUGUCUUAAAAAGGAAUAGUCAAAAAGCAGGAAACUAUUUGGAUUAUAUCAAGAUUGGGUGUGCUUAAAGUUGUGUAUUUGCAGGAAUCUUUCAGGAGUAAGCUGGUCUUUAGCUUAAGCACAGCAAAGUACUUAACUGCACUCUCAUUUCUAUCCCUGUUCAUGGAAGGACAAAAACACAUAUUCUACAUGACAAGUGUAUCUCUGCAAUUUUGCACAGCUACUUAAAUUUUGUUUUCCUCCCCUUUCCUCCUUGUUUUUACGUGCAAAAUAAUGUCUUAAAAAUUAGUGAAGACUAAUUAAAACUAGUGAACAUUUUAGAUGUUUUUGCUGUUUCUUCCUGAUGCAGAUAACUUCUGCAAGCAUGUCAAGAAUGAAAUAUUAUUUUGUAUUGCAUGCUGCUGUGAAUGGAGGUGGCUACUGUCUAUCUUUGAGAAGCUCCACCAUCAAAAGUGUACGGGCCAAUCAGAGAGAAAGUCCGAAGAUGUUCACCUGAAAAUGAUGGGGAGGAAAUUCUGGCACUGUGAACUACUCUGCAGUAUCAAUCACCUUAUUGUUAACAGAAAAGUAGAGACUGGUAUGUGAAGAGCCUUGACAGUGACAAGAAGUCACCUAUAUUUGAUCUCAAGCUCCAUCAAUGUAAUGAAACAUUUUCUGCUUGGAAAAGUCAUUCCAGAUUUGUAUACAAAAGUAAUCAGAGUAUUAACUGGUAAUUAUGAGGUGAACAUUUUAAGUAAAUUUAUUGGGUUUGCGUGGCCUGGUUUUGGUAGCAAGGGACUACAGAGGUACCUUCUAUGAGA
rnacentral:lncRNA from 1 species